AGGAUGAACGCUGGCGGCGUGCCUAAUACAUGCAAGUCGAGCGGUAAGGCCCCUUCGGGGGUACACGAGCGGCGGACGGCUGAGUAACGCGUGGGAACGUACCCCAAAGUGAGGGAUAAGCACCAGAAAUGGUGUCUAAUACCGCAUGUGCUCUAAGGAGUAAAGCUUUGGCGCUUUGGGAACGGCCUGCGUCCGAUUAGCUUGUUGGUGAGGUAAUGGCUUACCAAGGCGAUGAUCGGUAGCUGGUCUGAGAGGAUGAUCAGCCAGACUGGGACUGAGAACGGCCCAGACUCCUACGGGAGGCAGCAGUAGGGAAUUUUCCACAAUGGGCGAAAGCCUGAUGGAGCAACGCCGCGUGCAGGAUGAAGGCCUUCGGGUUGUAAGCUCGUUUUGGCGGGGACGAGUGAUGACGGUACCGCAGAAUAAGCCCGGCUAACUCGUGCCAGCAGCCGC
rnacentral:rRNA from 1 species